rnacentral:rRNA from 1 species
GAACUCGCGAGAGUAAGCUAAUCUCUUAAAGCCGUUCUCAGUUCGGACUGUAGGCUGCAACUCGCCUACACGAAGUCGGAAUCGCUAGUAAUCGCGGAUCAGCAUGCCGCGGUGAAUACGUUCCCGGGCCUUGUACACACCGCCCGUCACACCAUGGAAGUUUGCAAUGCCCAAAGUCGGUGGCCUAACCAUUUGGAGGGAACCGCCUAAGGCAGGGCAGAUGACUGGGGUGAAGUCGUAACAAGGUACC